AAUCUCAAAUUUUAUGUAAAAUUAUAACAUUUUCUAAUUUUAAAAAAAAAUGUGUCAAAAUGGACACUCAGAAAAGAGUUCGAACAUUACUGAGUGAAAAACCUACAGGUGAAGCCCAUCAAGAUUCAUGGAGGUAUACUAAUCGGUUAAAUAUAUCCUACGUGUACCUGUCGUGAACAUCGAAAAUCAAGCCAGGAGCAGUUGUAAAAUAAAUAAAAUACAAUAUUAUAUAAAUGUCUUGAUUACCAAUGCAAUGGGGAUGUAGCUCAGAUGGUAGAGCGCUCGCUUAGCAUGCGAGAGGUACGGGGAUCGAUACCCCGCAUCUCCAAUACUUUUUUAUCAUACAUACUGAUUCGUGGUCCGUUCCAAAUGGAAAUAGUCAUGGUCGAUUUUCUGGAGUUCAGUCAUUUUUGGUGCUUGUUUAUUUGUUCCAUUGACAACAAACAAGAAUCUCCACAGUAUUCAUCAAUGGACUCUUGAAACGACUGAUUUUUGUUGAAAUAGUGCUAUCAAAAGAGAGACAGCUUAUGAAAGAGGAGAAGGUGGCAGUUGUCUUGAUUUCUGAACUUAUAUGCACAAUUAUUUGGGAUUGUAAUCGCAUAUAAGUCCUAUAAUACUUGUGCAUUACAAUCCCAAAAAAUUGCAAUAUUCCAACUUCACUUUCUUCUUCCUCCUUUUUCUAGGCAACCAAACAAAAGAACAUGUUUAAGAGCCUUUGAUUUUUAUAAAGCAUGUUUUAUAUGAUGUCAGCCUACAAUUUGAAAUUAUAUUGAAUGUGAUUGGUGUGCAGCUUGUGGGCCAUUUUCUUGAAGAAACUUGCAUACAUCCUACUUUCGUCAUUAACCAUCCAGAGGUGAGCCCAUUGGCAAAAUGGCAUAGAUCAGAACCUGGCUUGACCGAAACGCUUUGAAUUAUUUCGACACCAGCUAAUGCAUAUACAGAACCGAAUGAUCCUGAAGUGCAGUGUGGACGGUUUGCUGAGCAAAUAAAUGUACAAAACAAUGUUGAUUUAGCAUAAAAUCAAAAGGAUUUCACUAAUGCGGUCAUAAGGGAUUUAGACUAUUUGAUCAGCCAAUUCCACAUAUUGAUUCCUCACAGAGAACCAUGAACUAUCCAUACUACUCCCGACAGUUCUCUUAUGUCCAACCAAAUGCUCUGCAAAUAUGUUUAUUGUUACAGGAUCGUCAAUCAUAUUUAUGAAUCAGUCCUCUCUCUCAUCCAUAAAUGGAAACAUGUUUGAUCCAUCACAUUAAAACUUAAAAGGCUAUAUUUGGUAUCUCGAAAAUUUGAGGAAAAAAAUAUAAAAAAUAAAAAGAUAAAAGGAAAUAAAAAGACGAAGCAAAAUAAAAAAAAUAAGUUAAAACUUAAUAAAUUAUUUUUAUUUACUACUUUAAACUUAUUUUAUUUAUUUUAACUUAUCGAUAUAAAGGUUAAAUAAUUUUAAAAUACAUAAGUUUUUAACUAAUUUUAAUUAUAUUUGAUUUUUUUUUUCAUAUUUUUUAUAUGAUAACCAAACAUGAUAAAAUAAUUUUAUUUAACAUUUUUUUUCCUGCCUUAAUAUUUUUCGCAAACCAAACGUAGGUGGUGUUUGUUUUUUUUGUUUUUUGCUUAAAACAAUUUAGCUUUAGAAUUUAGAUUUUUUGUUUUUCUACUUUUUCAUGACUUAUUAUAAACAUUUUACUAAAUAAAAAAAGUCAAAAUAUGUAACUUUUUCUAAAUAAAAAAAAUAAAACAUUGGUUUUUUUUACUUUUUAAUACUUAAUAAAAAUAAAAUACUACAAAAACAAACAACCUACUAUUUAACACUAUUAAACAUUAAAGUUCUAUUUAGAAUUAAGUAAAAAAACAAACAUCACCUAAGUGUAUUUUUAUUCGUGGAUAACUUUUUUUGUAGUCAUAAUUGCAUUAUAAUUAAAAGCCUAAAAAUAGUUCUCAAAAAAUGUUUUUAAGAGAAUCACCAUUGAAGUGUUUCUUCGAAAAAAAUUAUAAGUGAUUUUUCAAAUUUCUAAAAAUAUUUCUUAAAUUUUAUCAACACACGAUAUUUUUUCAAAAAUGAUUUUUUAGGUUAAAAACGUUUUGUAUAAUCAUUGACAAAUGAACUUUUAAUGUGAUGAUAGUUGAAAUCCCUUAUAGCUACCAACUUUUGUUAAUUAGAGCUAAAAAAACAAAUUUUGGAUUUUUAUAAUCUAAUUUAUGGUCUUUUAAAAUGAUUAUAGUUCCUAUAUAAAAAUAAUUCUUUGAUAUUUACCUUUAAAAUCUUUUUUUUUUUUAAAUUGAGAUAUUAAAUUUUUUUAUCUCCUUAAAUUUUAAAAAUUUGAAGGUUAUUUUUAAAUAUUAUUUAUGAUGAGAUAAAAUAUUCUUGGAUAUAAUAUUAGAUACAUACAAUAUCCUCAUGGUAGUAUCCAAUAAGAUAUUAUAUUUGAUUACUAAAAAAAAAUUUAAAAUAAAAUAAAAGACAUAUUGUAUUUCAAUGUUUAAUAUUUAUUUAAAAUAAAAAUAACAUUACAUAAUAAUACUUGGAAAUCGUUCUAUAAUUUAUAAUUAAGUAAUUAAUUAAUAAUAUUCAUGAUUAAUAAAUGUAAAUUUAUGAUUUAUAAAUAUUUAUAUUUCAUAAAUUUAUUUGAAAUAUUAUAUAGAAAAAAAGUGAGAUGCCACUAACCUUAUUCUAUAUUCAUUUGAAUAUUAGAAAUAACAAAAACGUUUUCUUUUAUUUAGAAGUUAAAAUAGGAAGUGUAUACAUAUCGACACUACUUUCUAUGCUUUUAUUUUUAAAAAUAUUUUUUCUUUAUACAAAAUAUAGAAACCAUAUGUAGAAAGCACAAAUUUACUUUAUAUUAAUUUUUUUUCUAAAUUUUAAAAAUUUAAGAAAGAGAAAAUUUUAUUACUAGGUUUUAUAUGGGGUAGAAAUGAAAAAUACAUACAUGCUGAAUUUGUAAUAAAUGAAGAAAAUAAAUAUUUUCUUUAUCAUACAAAAUAAAUUAAAGAAAUAUAUAAAAAUAAUUCAUUGAUUUUAACUCAAUUUUUUAAAGUAAUAAAUGAAAAAAAAGUAUUUUCGUUAUCAUGAAAAAUAAGAAAAUAUAUAUAAUUAAAAUUAAAUAAAAAUGACAUAUUUUUAAAUUAUUUAAUUUUUAUAUAAAAAAAUAUGAAAAAAAUAUGUAAAAAUAAUUUAUUGAUUUUAUAUCUAUUUUGUGGUUUUUUCUUCUUCAAUACAUUAUUUUAUUUAUCCAUUUAUUCCAUCCGAUACUUUGUCAUACAUAAAAUGGGAUAAACGAUGAAAUAAUUUGUUGUCAUCCAUGCAUAUAUGACAUGACGUAAUGUUUUGGAACAAUUGUGUUUUGGGCUCAACUGGGCCCAAAAAUUAACAUUUGGUCCAUAUAACUUACAUAAUUAAUGAAAAUAAUAUAAGAUGUUAAGAGACCAAAUACCCUUCAAAUUUCCAUAUAUUAUUUUUUAAUGAUAUAAAAUAGUGAUGGACUAAAAUACUCAUUGACCUUUCACACAAGCUUUUUUAGUCUUUAUUGCACCACUAUUCAUGCAACCAUAAUAAUUCUAUUUUAACAAUUUGGAUUUUUCAUUGUUUUUAAUUUUUUUAUUAUAAAUAAUUGAAAAUCAACAUUGUUUUCUAUUUUAAAUUAUAAAUAAAGAAAAAUUAUGUUCAAAAACUAUUUUAAAAAAUACUUUCUAAAAAAAUGGUAAUAUAAUUUAUAUUUUUUUAUAUUUUCUUUUUGAAAAAACAUUUAAUUAAAAAAUGAAAACUAUUUUUAAAAAUAAAAAUUGAAUACCUUGUUUAGUACUAUUUUUUAUAUGAAAAUAAUAAAAAGAAUUAAUUUUUAUUCAUUGAUUAUCCAUUUUUUUCCAUUAGUUAUUUUAAUAAUAUAUAUAUAUAUAUAUAUAUAUAUAUAUAUAUAUAUAUAUAUAUAUAGUAUGUUUACAAUUAAACAAAGGAAUUGGUCAAUUAGGUGUUUUUUGUGUGACUACCUUUUACAUUAAAAAUAAUUAAAUAACUAAAUUAUAUAUAUAUAUUACUCUUUUUAAUUUUAUUUUCUUUAUUUAUUUUUUGUCUAAUAGAAAAUUUUAAUAUAUCCAUAAUUAACAAAGUAAUAGAUUAAUUGUGCACAUUUUGAUCUAUUAAAAUAAAUUACUUUCUAAUUUAAAUAAAUAAAAUGAAAUAAGUAAAUAAAUUUGGGGUUAUUUCUAUUUUUAACAUAUCUUAUAUUAAUAUUUUUAUGGUUAAAUAAAAUUUUUAUUAUUUUUUUCUUUAAUUCCAAAAAUAAAAUGAAAUAAAUAAAUAAAUUUGGUAUUUUCUAAAUGAUCUUAUAUUCAUAUUUCUUAUGGUUAAAUAAUUUUUUUAUUCUUUUUUCUUUAUUUCCAAAAAUAAAAGGAAAUAAAUAAAUAAACUUGGCUUAAAUAAUAGUUUUUAAGUAAUUUCUUUGUCUUAUUUUUAAUUACAUUUUGCAUUGAAAAUAAAAUAAAAUAACAUUUUAUUUGUUUUAAUUAUUUUAAAUGUCAAACUAUUGGAAACAUAGUUUACACACUCAUAUGGAUAUAAUUUAUACAUAUAUAUGAAAUUUAUAUCAUUAUAUAAGGUUAUUACACUAGUUGUACAAGGGGUGUACAAGACUGUACAUUUUGAACAACUUUUUUUUUUCUUGUCAUAUAAGACUAUACGCUCUCCUACCACAAAAUUCUUUUAUUUCAUAUACUUUAUUUAGCUCUAUAGGCCCUCCGGGAAGGAGGGGUUUUUUUGGACCAUUUUUAUUUUGCUAUCAUUACUCUUCUGACCAGCCCGGGAAUUAGGCUGAUGGGGGCGGCCAGAUUAGACGAAAUGCAGAGAGUAGGUGAGGUUUGGGAAUGAAAGGAGUGGGAAGAAAAAAACGGAGAUAAGAGGCAGGUAGGACCAGAGCAAAAAGGAGGAAAGAUCUUUUUUUGGGGACGGAACGGGAGAGAGCAAGCUGGGGGGGAGAAAAAGCUCGUUGGCGAGGAAUUUCUUUAGGAGUUUUCAGGUAAGCCUAACUUGGGUUUAAUACAUUUCCUUCCAUUUGAUGUCUUACAUUAACCCAUGAUAUAGUUUUGGUGAUUUUUCUGUGGAUGCCUCGGGUCAUCUGGUUGUUUGGGUUUGAACGCGUUUGCUUGCACACGCUUGCCCUGUUCUUUGUUCUCUAACAUCCAUGAUCUAUUUCUCCUGUUGCCGGUUAGAUCUUGGUUUGUUUGAUAUUUAAGGAUUAUACUGGGUUCGCUUAACCCAUCCGUUUGAGCCUAUGAUGAGCUUUGUGAAGCCCCAUGAGGGUGGAAGAGAGAGUCAUGCCCAUGAACACGCUCAACACCCUCCAUGCCCAUUGCCAGACAUUACCUCCACCUCCAAGCCUUCGUUUUUAGUUUUCAUAAUACCCAUCAUGCUUAUCUCCAUACCUCUCAUGCUCAUUCUUUCCUCACCAUCCCCUCUCCCCCUCUUGAUGCCCACUCCCGUCCACACAUGGCUGCUCACAAUCCCGACAUCUCCCGUUCCGUCGACCAACGCACCGAAGGUCGCCUUCGGCACGCCCAGGAGGCUACGGCUGCUGCUGCUGCUGCCGCCACCACCCUCCAAUCUGCUGCCAUAUUCCAGUAUCAUUCAAAUGGCGACGACUGCGGUGCCCAAGUCCUCUCCGGCGCCGUCGACGAUGGGGUAGCGGAGGUGAUGAAAGGAAAGCUUGAGAUUUCACUUAGUGAUCUGUGGACGAAAAAGCCAUAGAGUGGAGACCUAAAGACGUGGGUUGCUGGGAAAGUGCAGGGCUGCUUUUUUUUUUUUUUUAUCCACUUAUCCUUGUUUUCUCCUCCUCGCCUAUUGUUUUUGUUUGGGCUGCUGCCAGGCCCAAGGCCCGCUAGCUUUCUUUGGAACUUCUUCCCACCUUAAGCCCAUUAAAGGGCUCAAUUUAAGUAGCCAUUGUUUUAAACCCAUUUCUAGCCAUUGUCCUAAGCCUAUUUCUAUUAUUAUUACUUAAAUCUUCAAAUUCAAUUUCCUAUUAUUAUUAUUAUUAUCAUUAUUACCACUAUUAAUUCAACUUUCAAAACCUCACUAUUAUUAUUAUUAUUAAUUCAACUUUUAAAAUCUUACUAUUAUUGUUACUAUUAAUUCAACUUUCAAAACCUCACUAUUAUUAUUAUUAUUAAUUCAACUUUUAAAAUCUUACUAUUAUUGUUAUUAUUAAUUCAACCUUUAAAAUCUUAUUAUUAUUAUUAUUAUUAUUAUUAUUAAUUCAAUUUUUUAAAAAUCUUACUAUUAUUAUUGUUAUUAAUUCAACUUUCAAAAUCUUAUUAUUAUUAUUAUUAUCAUUAUUAUUAUUAUUAAUUCAAUUCUUUUAAAAUCUUAUUAUUAUUAUUAUUAUUAAUUCAACUUUCAAAAUCUUAUUAUUAUUAUUAUUAUCAUUAUUAUUAUUAUUAAUUCAACUUUUAAAAUCUUACUAUUAUUAUUAUUACUAAUUCAACUUUCAAAAUCUUAUUAUUGUUAUUAUUAUCAUUAUUACCAUUAUUAAUUCAACUUCCAAAAUCUUAUUACUAUUAUUAUUAUUAAUUUAACUUUUAAAAUCUUAUUAUUAUUAUUAUUAUUAAUUCAAUUUUUAAAAUCUUACUAUUAUUAUUGUUAUUAAUUCAACUUUCAAAAUCUAAUUAUUAUUAUUAUUAUCAUUAUUUCAAAACCUUAUUAUUAUUAUUAUUAUUAUUAUCAUCAUCAUUAUCGUCAUUCUCAUCCUAAGCCCUUCUAAUUCACCCUAGGCCCCUCUAAUUCCAAAACCUUAUUAUUAUUAUUAGAAUCCAUUUCCAAAGCCCAAGCCCGUUCCCAAAGCCCUUCUAAUUCACCCUAGGCCCCUCUAAUUUCCUAAAGUUCAUUAUAUUAUUAUUAUUAUUAUUAUUAAAAAAUCUAUAUCCUCGCAAUUUAAUUUCCUAAAGUUUAUUAUAUUAUUAUUAUUAUCAUUAUUAAAAAUCUAUACUCUAGCCGUUUAAUUUCCUGAUGUUCAUUUAUUAUUAUUAUUAUUAUUAUUAUUAUUAUUAUUAAAAAUCUAUAUCCUUGCAAUUUAAUUUCCUAAAGUUUAUUAUAUUAUUAUUAUUAUCAUUAUUAAAAAUCUAUACUCUAACAGUUUAAUUUCCUGAAGUUCAUUUAUUAUUAUUAUUAUUAUUAUUAUUAUUAUUAUUAUUAUUAAAAAAUCUAUAUCCUCGCAAUUUAAUUUCCUAAAGUUCAUUAUAUUAUUAUUAUUAUCAUUAUUAAAAAUCUAUACUCUAGCCGUUUAAUUUCCUGAAGUUCAUUUAUUAUUAUUAUUAUUAUAAUUAUUAUUAUUAUUAUUAUUAUUAUUAUUAUUAUUAUUAUUAAAAAUCUAUAUCCUCGCAAUUUAAUUUCCUAAAGUUCAUUAUAUUAUUAUUAUUAUCAUUAUUAAAAAUCUAUACUCUAGCCGUUCAAUUUCCUAAAGUUCAUUAUAUUAUUAUUAUUAUUAUUAUUAAAAAAUCUAUAUCCUCGCAAUUUAAUUUCCUAAAGUUCAUUAUAUUAUUAUUAUUAUCAUUAUUAAAAAUCUAUACUCUAGCCGUUUAAUUUCCUGAAGUUCAUUUAUUAUUAUUAUUAUCAUUAAAAAUCUAUAUCCUCGCAAUUUAAUUUCCUAAAGUUCAUUAUAUUAUUAUUAUUAUUAAAAAUCUAUACUCUAGCCGUUCAAUUUCUUAAAGUUCAUUUCUUAUUAUUAUUAUUAUUAUUAUUAUUAUUAUUAUUAUUAUUAAAAAUCUAUAUUCUCGCAGUUCAAUUUCCUAAAGUUCAUUCCUUAUUAUUAUUAUUAUUAUAAAUUCAACUUUCAAAAUCUAUAUCCUUGCAUUUUAAUUCCCUAAAGUUCAUUUCUCAUUUUCUUUGGCAAAUUUCAUUUUAAUUACUGAAGCUCUAAUCUUUUGAAUUUAAUUCCCAAAAUCUCCAAUUUUCCAAUAAACUCCAAGAAUCUAGUUUUCACCCGAAUAGUUUUAAUUCCAUUUCAGUUCCUAAAUAAUCUUCCGAUCUUCUUGAUUUUACAUAAGCAAUAGUGAAUUCUUCAUAAUUCUAAAACACGGAAUUUGUGAGACUAGUUCGUGAAUAAUAAAUUGGGUUUUGGUGGGAGGGCCCUAUGUUUGAUCCCUAUUGAUUGUCAACUGUUGUGCUUAAUAUAUUUUGCUUGAUCUUCAUUUGGCACUCCGAUAUGCAUGAGCUAUGAUUUGCAUUCAUUAAUUGUGUAUUAAUCUCAUUUCUUAAUAGCGCAUUGUGGCUCGUGGCCCAGGUAUGCAUACACUCUCAAUCUGAUACUUCACUAUACAUGUUCCGAUUCUCAUAUGUGCAUGAUCAUUCAGGAUAUUCAUUGAUUUACUCAUCAACUGCCACAUCAGCUUCAUUUUAUCAGUAGAGACCCGACUUUAGGGACUUAGAGGGGUGCUAUGGUCUUCACCGUACCUUCGUGAUAAAUAACCUAACUCCCGAGCCCGAUCCGGUUUUUCGUAAAUCGUCUUUUCCAAAACAGGAGUCGCAUUUAGGGUUUUUCUUUCUUAUUUUGUUUACCCUUUUAAAAAUAAAACAAAAAUAAGUGGCGACUCCAAGUCAUUUUUAAUCAACAAAUCAAUUUUUCAAAUAAAAAUCGAGCUCACCAUUUGAGUGGGAAACGCAUGAGCCGAAAUGCGGGGUCCACAAACUCGCAUAUAAAAAUUCAAAUACUUACCUUAAUAAUUAUGUUUAAGGAAAAAUUUUGUUUUUACAUUUUAUAUCAUUUUUUAAAUCAAACCAUUGGAAACAAGGUUCACACAUCAUAUGUAGCACAUAAUAUAUGCAUAUGGAUGAAAAUUGCACAAUUGUAUAAGAGUAUUAUACUAACUAUAUAAGGUAAAUGUUCAAUUAGACAAGACAAAUGUUUUAACUGUAUAAGACAAAUGUUCUAACUGUAUAAAACAAAUGUUCUAACUAUACAAGGGGUAUACAAGACUAUCAUUUGUGAAAGAUUUCAAUCAAUUUUAGACAACUUUUUUUUUUUUGUCUUGUCAUCUAAGGAUUGCACACUCUCAAGGUACACAUUCCUCUAUCACACACUCAUCUUAUACACUUUAUUUAACUCGCAUAUGACAAUUCAAAUACUUGUCCCACUAAUGAUGUUUGAGAUAAAAUUUUGCUUUUCCAUCUUCCACUAUUUUUUGAACCAAACCAAUGAAAACAUAGUUAAUCUACCUAUGGUUAUACAUUGAAUAGGGGGUAUAUGGAAUUCGAGUCACUAUACAAGGUAUUUACACUAAAUGUACAUGAUAAAUAUACUAAUUAUACAAGGGUGUACAAAACUAUUAUUUGUGAAGAAUUUUAAGUGAUUCUAAAAAACUUGUUUGUUUAUUUCCCCUAACUAAGGAUAGAUGACAUUCUUUACACACAUUGGUUAAGUAUACAUUCAUCUCAUGCAUUUUAUCUAACUUGUAUAUGAUCAUUUGAAUAGGUACCUCACUUAUGAUGAUUGUAAAACAAAAUUAUACAACAAUUUUUCUUAUUUUUUUAAAACAAAACCAAUGCAAACAUGGUUAACUGACUUAUUGUCAGAUAUUCAUGAGAUGAUGUAUAAAAUUUGAGUUAUUGUACAAGGGUAUUAUACUAACUGUACAAGACAAAUUUACUAAUUGUACAAGGGUGUACAAAACUACUUUUUGUUAAGGAUUUCAAGUGAUUUUGAAAAACUUUCCCAUUUUUUUCCACUUAAGAAUUUUUAUGCACUCAAAUUCUCUCAAGAAUUGUUUCGAAUUUUAUUUUUAAAUUUCAUCAUCAAAAUUUUGUAAUUGUAUAUUUUGUUUUUGUAGUUUUAGCAAUGUUUUUUCUUUUCACUAUUUUUUUUUGUGAAAUUUUAUCCAAAUGAAUUUAUAUUUAAAAUUAUAAUCAUGUUUAUCAAAUUUUUUACUAAGAUUAUCUUUAAUUCUUUUGAUAUAUUUAUACUCAUUUAUUUAAAAAAUGAAAAACCAUUUUUUUUUAUAAACAUGUUUUAUUACCUUUCAAGUAAAAAAUUAGAUAAAAAUAAUUUUUAGAUAAAAUUUUAUAUAAUAUAUUUUAUUUGAAAUUUAAUUUAUAAAGUUUAACUAAAAAAAUUGUAUUGACAAUUUUCUUAUUGUGAGUCAAAAUGUUUUGUAUUAGUCUAUCUAAAUAAGAAAAAUUAUUAAUAUAAUAUUACAACUUUGUAUCUUAAUUAUUUUUUUCAAUAAAUUUAUCUUUUUAAAAAUUUUAAAAUAAAAACAUUAAAAAUUAAAAAGCUAAAAGGAUAUAUAUAAUAAAGUGAAGUGAUAGUCAAUUUUAAAAUUUUUUAAAAUAUAGUUAAUGUAGAAAAUAUAAAAAAUAAUUAAAAAUAAGAGAGAUAUAUAAAUGAAAGGGUAAUAUAAAUUUAAAAUAAAAAAUGAAAAUUAAACUAAAAGAUAAAUACAAAAAGGUAAAAAAUAUUUGAAUGAAAAAUUCCAAAAUUUUUAUCAUUGCUUAUAAUAAGAGCAAAAAAAUUCAAUAUCUUUAAAAAUGAAAAACAAAAAAAAUAUUAUUUCUUUUUAUGUGACAUAAAAUAGAAUUAUAGAUUAGAAGAAAAAGAAAAGAAAGUUAGAAAUGAGUAAUACUUAGUAGGGAAUAGAAAAUGGGAAAAAAACACAAAAAAUUGAAAUUCAUACUCACUAUGUGUCUAUGUAAGGGUUAAGGGUAUUUUAGGAAUUAAUAAAAGAUAAUAUCCUUUAUCUUAAUUUUCAUCAUUUGUUUGAGUCUUAAGCUUAAAUACGUAUAUGGACAAAAUAUUAAUUUUUAUAUAUAAUUGGGCUCAAAACAUAAUUCUCCUUAGAAAAUAAUGCUGAUUUUCAAUUAUUUAUAUAUAUAUAAAUUUUAAAAUAAUGAAAAAUCUAAAUGGUUAAAAUAUAAUUAUUAUGAUUGCAUUGAUACAGUAAAAACAAAAAAAAGUUGAUCGGGUAUUUUAGUACAUCGCUACUUUAUAUCUUAAAAAGGUCAUAUAUAGAAAGCACGACUCCCCAUGAGUUUUUCAGCUGAAUGACGACAGUCUCUUUUAAAACUAGUCCUAAAGAUGCGUGCCAUAUUUCUAAGCUUUGACUCUCUUCUCUUCUGCGAAAACCCUUAACUUCACCGGAUCUUCCAUUUCUCUCCGUCCUUCGUCAAUCCCCAUGACGAUUUAUUCAUCCAAUAACGCAGGUUAUUCAUCCAACAAUCCAGGUCUCUUAUUUCCACUAAGUUUCCACGGUUUCUUUUUCUCUGAUCUCUGAUUUCUCUGUUUGGUUGCCGAGCAAAGGGAAGAAAAAAAAGUAAAUUUGGAGUUUUACAUGUUGUUCGUGGGUUUAGAUUUCGAUUGUUCAAGUUCUUUGAACUCAUUGAGUUGAUUAAUUUGGUUGUCUGUGACGAGACAGCUGAUGGUAGAAGGGUUGUAAUUGAAUUUUCCUUUUGGUUUGUCUCGCCAACCAAACGUUGUUCUGUAUUAUUAGGUUUUUCCCUGUCAGAUUGAUUCAUUUUACAUUCUAGUUAUGCGUUUUCCGAUCACAUAAGAGGCAAUCAAGUGUUUCUAACAAUUGUCCUGAUUUAUGUUCUUAAUUUGGGAUGUAGAGGAGGAGUAGUCUUCUCGAAUUAACAGAAUGACUGUGCUGUAUUCAUUGGUCUUCAUGUAGUUUUCUUGCUUUUGAGAUCCAAAUUGCAUUAAUUUUAGCUCCUAAAGGAAGAAAAUCAAUACGCUAAUGGAACAGUACUCAAGUGUUUUGACCUUGAUGGAAGAUUGCUUUGAUAUUUUAAAAAUCUGCAAUUAGAAUGAAAACUAGGUUUUCAAUCAAUCCGACUCCGAUUGUAUGCAUACCAUUAUUUACUGCUGGGUUGAUCUUCUGUAAAGCUGGAUUCAUGUUAUAUUUACCAUUAAAAUGGAGGCUUUCUUAUUCUCUCUCUCUUUUUUAAGCUUAGUUUGGUCAAGCUAUUCUGCAAUUAUUAUUAGCUAGUUUCAUAGUUGUAUUCUUUCAAGUAGUAAUGGUGGAAUUCUUUUGCUAAUUAUCUUCAAUAUCUUACAGAUGAUUCUGAAAAGGCUAAAAAGGGUUCUUAUUUUGGUUUACCAUCCUUGGAUGUUUCUGUCGCAUUCCCCCAAGCAACUCCGGCAUCCAUAUUUCCUCCCUGUGGUAAGAUUGAUGAUCAUGAUUCUUUUUAAGCAAUUCAAGAUAUUUGUACAUGUUAGGUUGGACUUUUCUGAUCAAAUUUUAAGAUUUCACCAUUACUAUAAUCAAUUAAUAUAUCUGGAAACUAUUGGUAGCGGAGCAAGAUUGUUAUUCAUUGCUCAUAGGAAAAAAAGGCGACUUCCAUUUCAUCAUGUUCCCUACAUUUAUUUAUUUUUCAAGGAUAUUGAUUGUGCAUGCUCCCAAAUUGAGUAUUAAGAUCUUCUUUUAUUCCUAAUGUUUUGAUCUUUAAAAUUACAGCUUCAGACUAUUAUCAGUUUGAUGAUCUUCUGACUCCCGAAGAGCAAGCCCUCCGGAUGAAAGUGAGAAAGUGCGUGGAAAAGGAAAUUGCUCCGAUAAUGACAGAGGUAUUCUCCUCAUUUUGUUUCAAACUCUUAGAAGAUUAGAUGUUGAGUUUCUUAGUGAAUAUAGAAUAAUGAUGGAUGAAUGAUGGAACAAUUUUUAGGAUUUCUUGUCAUGCUAUGUUAGUAAAUACACAUACUGUUUAAAAGAUGCUACUAAAAAUAUACAGUUCCCCUGACUUGAUGUUUUUACUAUUUGUGGUUGUCUAGUUGGUCCUGUAUUUGAUUACCAAAGGGAAAAAUGAUACUUAUGCGAUACUAUUUUGUUCAGUACUGGGAGAAGGCAGAGUUUCCAUUUCAUGUUGUUCCAAAGCUUGCUGCCCUGCGUAUUGCUGGUGGAACAAUCAAGGUACUUUAUACACUCCAUGUCCUUUUUCUUUUAUCUGUGGUCAAAAUUAUGGAACAUGGAAGUUUAAUCAGCUUGGGCCAUCAGGGUUAUGGGUGCCCAGGUCUUUCCGUUACUGCAAGUGCUAUUACUACUGCAGAAGUUUCCAGGGUUGAUGCGAGCUGUUCUACUUUCAUUUUGGUCCAUUCUUCUCUGGCAAUGCUUACUAUUGGUGAGGUCUUGAUAUAAGUUGAUUCUUUACUGUUGAUAGUGUAUUCAUUGCUGGUUCAUGAAUCAUGACAUUGUACAACUUAUGUGGAUGGCCAAGGAUAGCACUGUGCGGUUCAGAGGCACAAAAGCAGAAAUAUCUACCUUCUUUGGCACAAUUAAACACUAUAGCUUGUUGGGUGAGCAGCUCAUUGUUUGGGCAUUGUAUGGAUCCUGAUGCAUUGUUGAUAUCUGCUCCUGCUAUCCUUGAAUCACUUGAAAUGUUUUUCUACACUGCAGGCUUUAACUGAGCCUGACUAUGGAAGUGAUGCAAGUUCUCUGAAAACAACAGCAACAAAGGUCCAAUCCAUUUUUUAGUUGUAGCAGACUGGUUACUUUUGCUUAUCCUGUCCGCAUCAGAAUUCUUAAUUUCACCAAAUAUCAUCUUAUUGCUGUGUCAUUGGAUGGUCAGGUGGAAGGAGGUUGGAUACUUGAAGGCCAAAAGCGUUGGAUAGGCAAUAGUACCUUUGCUGAUGUGUUGAUUAUUUUUGCUAGGAAUACGACCACCAAUCAGAUAAAUGGGUAAGUAGAAUAUGAGAUUCUUUUUUUUUUUUUUCUGAUAGAUAAAGGCUAUUAUAUUAAACAAAAAGAGGAAGCACCAAACCAGUGCCCUCUAAGUAUACAGGGAGUAUACAAGAGUAGCCCAAAGGUUCGAAAACAAGGGGGGAGGAAAGAAACAAAAUACACUUUACCAUCCCUUACUUAGAGCUUAACCAAUCUAAAAAGCUAACAAGAGAAGAAGGGCUCGAAACUAUAAACACCCUCACCCAAGACUAAAGAUUACAUACAAAAGAAUAUUUCAAUCUUUGAAGCGAAAGCUCCUCAUUCUCAAACGCUGACAAAUUUCUUUCCUUCCAAACUGACCAAAAAAUACAUAAGGGGGCCAUUUGUCAAGUCUUUUUACGAGUUUUCCCCACAAACGCUCUAUGCCACCCAAGGAGAGUAUCCUUCACUGAACCUGAUAGAACCCAAUCCACACCAAAAAGGGAGAAAAUAAGACUCCACAAAGCCCGCGUCUUUGCACAAUGAAGUAAAAGUUGAUCCACCGUCUCUACUUCAAAAAGGCAUAGAAAACACCUAUUUGUCAAUGAGUACCCCCUCCUCUGGAGUUGUUCCAAAGUUAAGAUUUUACCCCAAGAAGCCUCCCAAGCAAAGAAUGCUACCUUAGGCGGCACAUUCGCCUUCCAAAUACUACCACAAGGAAACAAAAGAGAACCUCCUGGCUCCAACAUAGAAUAUAGCGACUUGAUUGAGAAAGCUCCACUCUUAGAAGCUGUCCACACCACUUUAUCCUCGUCCUCCCUUUGCACCCUAAAGGCUUGGAUCUUAAGCAUAAAACGCUCCACCAUCUCAAUCUCCCAAUCAUUAAACGCCCUUGAGAAAAGAGGGGUCCACCCAUCCCCAACACCGUCUAAGUAGAAUAUGAGAUUCUUCUUCUCUCUAGCACUCCCCAUAAGUCGUAUAAAAAAGAACAGUUAAGCAUGCAUUAAAUGGAGCUCCAAGGGCAAUGACAAUGCCUCAAUGAAAAGAUUAAGAGGCUUGAAAUAAGAUACUAAACAAACUGGAAACCAGGAUUAGAGGUACAGGAGCACCGCAAAAAGAUGGGAAAAAAAACAAAAUAUCUUGCAUAGAAUACUUGACAUUUUGGGAAACCCAACAGCUCAUGAGGGUGUCAAUAAUCAAGGGCCAUGAUCCACAGCAUCACGUUUUGGAAGAAAAUGAGACCUAAAAGAGGAACCAUAGAAGUAGUGAACCAAGAGGUGAGCGAGAGUGAUUGGGGUCAUUAGUUCUAUAGAUUUGUGGCAUAGAGAUUUUUUAUGGGACAGUUUGCCAUAGUGAUUUCCUUUAAUUUACUGGUAUCGAUGUACUUAUGUUUCUGCUUACAACAACUACAUGUGAUAGACUGUUCCCUAUAUUGGCAUGGUUGUUUUAGUUCUUUGCCUGUUUUAUAGGAGUGCUCAUUACUUAACAUGCAGUUUGGCUCUGGUUUUUCUGCUUCAGAUACAUCGUAAAGAAGGGUGCCCCUGGGCUAACUGCUACAAAAAUACAAAAUAAAAUUGGUCUACGAAUUGUUCAAAAUGGUGAUAUUCAAUUUAAGAAGGUUUUUGUCCCUGACGAGGACAGACUACCAGGUGUUAAUUCUUUUCAGGAUACGAACAAGGUAUGGCAGCAUAGUAGUUCUCUUAAAUGAUGAUUUCUUUCCUUAAAUCAUUGAUUCAUUUCUUAUCCCGCCUGCUUUGUAAUUUUUUCAGUUGACCAUCAUCUGAAAAACGGGUAGCAUGUUAUCUCUGGUUGUGACCUAUGAGAGUUCCUUGUUUGUCCCUCUCUGUUUGAUGCAUUGGCAGUUCUAUUAAUAUGUUAUUAUAGCCCAAUUUCUGAUGAUCUUAAUAAAAGACUGACAUUGUUUAUCAGCCUUAUUGCAUAACUUAAAGAUAAAUUGGUUUCAGUUUGAUGAGAGGCUUGCCUUUUCCCCCCAUAUAGUUUUGUGUAGGAUUGUCUCUUCAUGUAUUGUAUUUGAUUGUAUUCAAUUGACAGAAUCACAAUAGUGUAGAAAGAGAACUUCUGUAUAAUGACAAUUUUAUGUCAUUAACUCAAAAUUAUGUGAUGUUGGACAACCCUAGGAUAGUUGCCUACAAUCAAAUAGGUGGGCUAGGGUUUUUAUUUAUUUUUAGGGUUUAAGGAGAGGAACAAGGGAUAAAGUUUAUGGUAAAGAAAAAUAUGGAGAAAUAAUAUAGAAGAAAAAAAAAUAUAGAAACCUUAGUCUUACUAAGGCCUUCUAGGAGUUUCACGUAGAAGGAAACCAAUGGAGUCUCACCAUUGAAAAUUGCAAAGUAUGCAAGAAAACAUGAUGUCAUUAAUCAUCGAUCCAUUACUUUGGCUUACAUCAAUUAGUCUUAUUUAGAAGCUUCUCUAAGAAAUUUAAAGGGUACUAAGAUUCUAAUAACCUAAUAUGACUCUAAUUCUAAUUCACCUAUUACCUCAUUAGCUAUUCCUAGUUUAACUCCAACAAAUACUGAUCUUAAUUUAAUUUCAAGUAAUAUUAAUCAUACUUUAAUUAAAACUAAUACUAAUUCUCUUUCUUCAUGUAUAUCUUGGAGAUUCAUUCUCAUCAAACUCCCCUUCAACUUGAAAAAAAACUUGACCUCGAGUUUUAGUAAUUUUCCACAAUCAAUUGAAAUCCCGAGCAAUGCCUUCCAUCCUUUCUUUCUUCGUCGACACUUAAACAUGAUAGAACAGGAUCUUAGAAUCUCAAGAUCUCUUAAACUUGUUUAAUAUCAUGCAAGACAAGUACCAAGCUUCAAAAAAUUUUUUAGUGUUGUAAACCAAGUUGAUAGUUGUCAAAAUAAUUAUGUCAUGAACAAGCUUGUGGAGAGUUGCUUCCUACACUUUUCUUUGUAAAUUGUGUUAAAGGAUAACAAGAUUCUUGAAUUCCCUAUAUUCAAAAGAAAUUUCAGCAAUUCUUGUUAUAUCAUAGAUUUCUUCAUGUUUGCCACCAAUCACGAUAAUGUUUUGCCUUGGAAAGUCAAGCACUAGUUUUUCUAAAGCUAUUACAAUUUCUUUGAGCUCUCCUACAGGUUGUUCUAGGAUCGAUUUCAUCACCUCUUUCAUUCUAGAUUCAUCAUUGACGAUUUCUACCUCCUUUCUAGUAACUCUGAAUUGCUCCUUAAUGAGAGUAUUUGAUAGCUCUUUUGGUUUUAGGGAUGCUAUUUAACCUUUUGGUUGUUUAAGUGGUGAAAUUUCCUUCCUUGGAUGGAGGUUUUUCUUACACCCAUUGUGUACGUGUGCAAGUGUUCUCAUAUCCAUCAUGUUGGACCCUUUCAUAAAAAAGCCAUGGUCUUCCGAUCACAAUUUGAACAACUUUCAUUGGGAAAACAUCACACCAUAUAGACUCUUCAUAGUCCUUACCAAAAAGGAAUGUGACCAAGCAAUGGAAACUUAUUGGAAUAGAUGUGUCAUUAACCCAUGCUACUCAAAAGGGAUUUAGAUGUUUCCAUAUUUUAAGGUUUAGCUUCUUAACAAGUUCAUUUGAAGCUAAGUUCUAUCAAUAAUCAUAGUACAUAGUCUUCCUUGGCAUGCAACACAAGUUCGAAAGAUGCUAGGAAGUUGUCAAUCCUCUUCUCUUUUCACCUUUGGGACAACUAACAAAGGUUGCAUUGCAAGACUAUAACCUUUUGUCAUACCAUCAUAGUAAUCACAUGUUUCACUAAGUUCAUCUUCACCAUGGUUCUCUUAUUCCUUUGGAUAACUCUCCAAUUCAGAUUCUGGUUCUUCAAUACAAUAAGUGUAAACCCAGCUUAUGCUCACAACAACAUAAUGAUCAUGCUCACCACACUUAAAGCAUAAAGGAGUCAUACCUACCUUUUCAUCUCCAAUACUAAUUGAAGUUUGACCCUUUUUAGCAUCUCUAUUACCACAUUUGAAGCUUGUUGAUUGUUGCACUUACCAUUUACAUGGUUAGAAGUUUGGAAUUUGUUGUGCUUAAUGGUUUGCUUGCUGUUUGAUUGAAGAAAGUAGUCUCAAUCUGUGAACUUGGAUGUUAGGAAGGCUGAAACUUAAGCCCUCUUCUAUUUUAAGGGCUAGUUGAUAAAUAUCAUCCACGGUAUAAGUGCAUGCAACUAUCAUCUCAAGUUCAAUCUCCAUUUGAAGUCUAGAUUUAUAACGGGUUGCUAGUUGAGCCUCACUUUCCCGCACUUGAUUCCGAGUGCUCAACUCAUGAAAUUCUUUUGUAUAUUCUUCAACUUAGUACAUUGUUUGAGAGAAAACAAUUUUGUGUACAUGAGCUAUUUACAGUCAGUUGGGAGAAAGUGCUCCUUCAUCUUGUUCCAUGUGUCUAUAGGUUGUGUGGUUCUAUAAAGUUCAUUCUCAAUAUUAUGCCACCAUAGCGUGUUGCUCCUUUCAAUUCUGUCUUCACAAAACAGACCGUUCUGCUUUCAGGCAUAUCACACCAAUCAAAACAAUCUUCCAUCGACAUAAUCCAAUCAAAAAAAGUUGUUAGAUGUUAUUUUCUUUAAAAUUCAGCCACUUCAAGUUGUACCUUUUUUGUCACAUCAUCAUCCUGCUCAAAGAUUUUGCCCCUUCUUUGAUUUCUUGUCAUAAAAUGCCUUGUUUGUCACAUGGUCUAUGAGACUAUUGUCCGAAUUGGUGGCUUGCAAUCUCAUCUUCAAUUAGGCAUUUUUCAUGACUCUUUUCUAAUAACUUCAUGAUCUCAUUAAGUUUGCUAUUUAGUUGUAUUAUAGCAUCUUAAUGGGAUUGUUGUAUGACAAAAAUUUUCUCUAACAAUGUUGUAAUGACAUCUUGAUUGUUAAAAGUAUUUUUUGAACUCAUGUUUGUGUAAUUUGCUCCAUUCCUUAAUUGUAUAUGCCUUCAAGCCAAGAACUUUUGCUCUAAUACCAAAACUGAUGUAGGACAACCCUAGGACGGUUGCCUACCAUCAAAUAGUUGGGCUAGGGAAUAUAUAUAUUUUUUUAUUUAAAAAAAGGGGUUUAAGGAGAUGAAUAAGGGAUAAAGUUUAUGGUAGAGAAAAAAAAAUAUAGAGAAAAAAUAUACGAAGAAAAAGAAAUAAAAACCUUAGAGUCUCAUUAAGGCCUUUUAGGACUUUUACAUAGAAGAAAAUCAAUGGAGUCUCCCUAUUGAAAAUUGCAAAGUAUGCAAGAAAACAUGAUAUUAUUAAUCAUCAAUCCAUUACUUAAGUUUAUUUUGGUUUACAUCAAUUAGACUUAUUUAUAGGCUUCUCUAAGAAAUCUAAAGUCUAGUAGGAUUCCAAUAACCUAAUAUGACUGUAAUUUUAAUUCUUCUUUAACCUCAUUAGCUACUCCUAAUUUAACUCUGAUAAAUAUUAAUCCUAAUUUAAUUUUAGGUAAUAUUAAUCCGACUUUAAUUACAAUUAAUACUAAUUCCCUUUCUUCAUAUAUAUCUUGGAGAUUCAUACUCAUAGCUAAGACUUGAAAUCUUAUUAUGACAUAACAACUUAGUCCCUGUAAAGGACAACACAGUAAAAAAAUUGAUUUUGUUUGCUUUCCAAUUGAAAAAAAAAAAAACACUUAUUUUUAUUCUUUAGGUUCAAUGAUAAUUGUAUUAAUUUUUUUUUUCAAUCCCUAGAUUUAAAAGAGAAAAAAAAAAAAAAAACCCUCUUUUGUUGCCAUAAGUUGUAGGACAAAGAAACUCGGAACCUUAAUGAAAGGUGAAUUUCAAUAAUGGACUACACCUAGGAGGGGGGUAUAUAGGUGUUGUUGAACAAUUUAAAAAAAUCUCCCAACAAAAAUUACCUAACCUUGGAAUUUCUCAACGUCAAUAAAUUUCUCUUCUAACAACUUUUCAACAAAGCAUAAAAUUUACAAGCAAGUAUGAAUGCAACAACACUCUCCCAACAAUUUAUAGAUGUAAUUCACAUGCAAAUGCUUCAACACUCCUCAAAAUUAAUUUAAAAGAACAAUUCUCUCCUUAACUCAUUUCCAAUUACUACAAGAUAUCAUUACCAAAACGAACAGAAAAAUUAUUCAAAAUAUCCAAUGGAUAAUCACACCUAUUUAAACUCAUUUUUCUUCCAUUAAACAUAUAUGCCCAAGUACCCAAUGAUAUUAAAAUCUGAAAAUAAAUUAAAGAGUAGAAUGAGAGAAAGAGACGAUGUAACCAAAUUUUAAUGUGGAAAACCUCCAAAUAAAUUAAAAAACUACAGACUUACAAUCAAUUGAAAACAUCCACUAUGAAGAACAAAAAAUUGAAUAUAAAGUUUUACCUAGCUUAAGUCUACCAAUCAUUCCUGGACCACUUGACUAGAACCUUUCACUUUCAACAAAAAUUUGAAUGCAAAUGGGACGAGAGAGCGAGCGUGAAGAGAGAGAAAAUCGAUUGGAGAUUCGGAGGAGACUGAAGAGGCGUAGAUUUGUAGUGGAAUUGAAGGUAUUUGAGAUUGAAGUAGAGGAGAAGAAAGGAAGACUGCAAGCUACUUUAGUGGAGAGAGAGAGGAAUCUCUUUUUGGAUUAGGUUGGGACCGACGAGUCUAGGGGUCUUCCUGGAAAGCUUGAAUCAAUGCAUUAAAGAAGUGAAAGCUAGAAGAUGUGAAAGGGGCUGGAAGGAAAACGGGAGAUCUUCAUCCCGAAAGGUAGAGGAGAAAGGGGAGGUUAGUUUACUAUGGCGGAGAUGUUAUGAAGUAUGGGAGUAGUCACUGGAAGGAGGGAAAGAAAGCAGGAAGAGACGCUACCGUUGAAACCUAUUUUGGAAAAGUCUUAUGCGGAGGUGGUUAAGAUGCCGAGAAGCAUAGACAGAGAUUUAGUUAGGGUGGAGAUAAGAUAGAAGGAAAUUAGCAGAAAUUUGAGAAACUUGGAGCAUUGCCUCGUCGGAUGUUGGAACCCUAGUUCAGCGAGAGGAGAAGAUUUGGAAAAAUUGGGGAUUCUAAUGGCAAAAGCUUAGGGGCUGAAAGGUAAACUAGGGAUGGCAAAGAUGGAAAAGGGUAAGGUGCUGUUGGAAUUUGAAUCGUUGGUUGAAGCUAAGCGAGUGCUCAAUUAUGGGAAGAGAUCGUUUGGAGGGAUUCAUUUGUGUUUGGAGAGUUGGAGCCUUAAGACUGGGUGCUUGGUUGAAGGAGAGAAAAAAAGUGCGGCUUGGGUAAAAAUCGUGGGGUUACCGGUCUUCUUAUGGGAUCCGAUCAUAUUGAGAAGGGUGGGGGAGGAGUGCGAUGGAUUUUUAGCAGUUGAUUCCCAAACGAAGAAAAUGGAGGAGUUACAGUGGGCUCGUAUUUUGGUGAAGACGAACGGCGAAGACCUACCUAAUGUGUUGGAGAUUUGGAUCGAAGAGGUCUAUUACUCCCUGAUUCUAUGGUGGGAGAUUAGGCCAUCACUGAGAAAGGCAUCGUUCGAUAGUCGAGGGAAAACAAACAACUCAAGAGAUGAGGUCGGGGGUGAUGUUAACGCACGCGUUGGCCCGCGUGUGGUGGAAGAGGAGGGUGAUGUGGGGCUCAAGGUUCUACAGCGGCUAGUCGAAGGGACGUGUGGGCAGGCGAGCGGGCCGGGGCGUAAAGUGGACUCAAGACGGAGCCAAAAUAGGUUGGUGGCCCGACCCUUUGAAGGACUUAAGUUGGUGAGUGGGCUUUCUAAGUUAAGCCUAUUAGUGGAUUUAAAAGAUUUUAAGUUGGUAGGCGGGCUUUCUAAGUCAGGCUCAUUAAUGGAUUUAAAAUUAAAAGGGGUUGCAGUGGCUGAAGAUGGGCUGUCGUCUUCAAAGGAUUUUUGGUGGGCUAGUGAAGAGGAGAAUAAUACGACUAUUGGUAUAGACGACUUGGAUGGGGAAUCAAGCCCAGGCCCUUCUCAGCUUCCUCUAGUGGACAGAGCCCAGAAUGUUAUGGCCCAUUCUCCAGCCUGGUCUGGCCCAAGAAAUUGGAGCAACUCUAAAUCAGAGUUUAUUAAACUUUGGGUGACGGAAGGAAUGAGGAAGCAGCUGGUAGAAGAGCAACUGAUAGUGGAGAGGUCGAAGACUAAUCAAGCUUUAGUUGAAGAAGCUUUGAGGGAUGGGGAUGAUUUUGUUUCUUGGGGAAGAAGGGAUUCUUGGUCAUCUCCAUCUCAUUCUUUUUCUUUUGGUCGGAUUCCAAUGAUGGGGGAGUAUUAUGACUUUUCUGGGGCAGUAAGUGAGGUAGUUUAGGGGGAGAUUCCGUUGCGUAUGGUCACUGCAUCUGGGAUUACAGAGGGUGUAACCACUGCCUGUUAAGAUUUGAUAAAGGUGAAUAAUGGUAGCAAUAAGGAAAGAAGAGUGGAGUUGUGUUCAACUCAAUUUGAGUCAUAGGAAGAUAGGGGUUGGGAGGAGAAUAGUUGGGAGGAAAGUAGCUUGGCAAGGUUCAACAACUUUCUGGGUUUUUCGACGGAGGGGUUGGAAAAGGAUAUUCUAGAUUUUUUUUUUAUAUCAAAAUUAGAAAAAGAAGAGAGAGAAUUCAUAGUAAAGGUUUAUUGGAGAAAUCAAAAAUUGAAAGGGAGUUAAAGAGACUAGAGUGCUCAAUUAAUUAUGAGGGAGGGAAGAAGCAGAAAUGCCCCAUGCAGGGAAGAGGGUGUCAGCUCUUGGAAGUCCUAUGAAGAUCAAAUUGUUGAGUUGGAAUGUGCGUGGAGCAAAUGACAGCUUCAAAAGGAAAUUAAUAAAGGCUCUCAUAAGAAAUCAGAAGGUGGAUUUAUUUUCUCUUGAGGAGACGAAAAUUCAUGCAAUGACUGAUGGUGUGGUGAGGAGUUUGGACACUGGGAGAUUUUUAGAAUGGGGGACUUUGGAUGCUUUUGGCUCAGCGGGAAGAAUUUUGAUUUGUUGGGAUAAAAGGGCGUUGGAAGUACUAGAUUUGGAGGUGGGUCAAUAUUCAGUCUCUUGUAGGUUCAGGAAUGUGGAAGAUGGGUUUGUCUGGAUGUUCACGAGAGUAUAUGGACCGUUCACUAGAGAGGAAAGGGAAUGUUUGUGGGAAGAGCUAGGGGCGAUCAGAGGAAUUUGGGAAGACCCUUGGUGUUUAGGGGGUGAUUUCAAUAUCAUUUUAUUUCAAAGGGAAAGGAGUAGGCAAGGGAGGUUAACAGCAGCGAUGAGAAGAUUUGCUCAGAUAGUUGAUGAGUUAGAGCUAGUAGAUUUACCUAUGCAAGGGGGAUUGUUCACUUGGAACAGGGGACAAAAUAAUCAAUCUUGGCUAGAUUGGACAGAUUUUUAGUGACUCAAAAUUGGCUUGAUCAGUUCAGCGGAGUCCUUUAGAGCAGGCUGCCUAGACCUACCUCAAGUAUCUCAACUGCUCACUAUUGGCCUCGCAAAAUAAAAGGGUGUUGUUAGCAAACAGAAGAUGGAGCAGAUCCCCUUCUACUCCACUAUUGCUUCCCACCUUAAACCCCUUAAUGAAACCCCCGCUUUUGGCUUUGAACAACAACUGGCUGAGAGUCUCCAUGACUAAUAAGAAGAGAUAAGGGGAUAAAGGGUCGCCCUGUCUUAAGCCCCUAGUGCUAUGAAAAAAGUCUGAAAGGGUUCCAUUAAUUAAAAUUGAGAAGUUAGUUGUGGAGAUGCACCAUCUGAUCCAAUUAAUCCACCUCUGCCCAAAUCCCAUCUUGGAUAUAACUGAUAGAAGACAGUCCCAAUUGACAUGAUCAAAUGCCUUCUCAAUGUCCAACUUUAGAAGGAGACCAGAGAGAUUAUCCUUCAACUUGGAGUUGACAGCCUCAUUUGCAAUGAGCGCGACAUCCAGAAUCUGCCUAUCUUGAAUGAAGGCAUGCUGGUACUAUGAAAUCACCUUCCCUACAGCUAGUUUCAACCUAUUUGCCAAGACUUUGACAAACAAUUUGUAAAGGCUCCCAAUCAAACUUCUCGGUUUGAAACCUUUCAACUCUUCCGCACCCCCCUUUUUUGGGAUCAAAACAAGAAAAUUGUAGUUUAGACUUCUUUGGAAAGUGCCAAGGUGGAAAAAGUCACCAAAAAAGGCCAUAAUCUUGACUUUGGUAAAUUCCCAAGAAAUUGCCAAAAUGCCAUGGUGAAGCCAUCUGGACCAAGCGCUUUAUCGCCGGAGAGGCUGCACAAGGCUUUGAACACUUCUUCUGAGAAAGGCACCUCUAAACUUCUGGACCUUUUUGUCCCCAUAACACGAAAUUGUAAAUCCUUAAUUUGCGGUCUCUAGUCCUCGUUUUCCAUUAACAAUCCUAUAAGUCCCUACACACCCUAGACUUGAUAUCUUCCUCAUUAGUAAGAGUGACCCCAUUAAUUUUCACAUUGGAUAAAAAGUUUCUUCUUGCCUUGACAUUGGCCAUCUUAUGAAAAAACUUAGUAUUCUUAUCUCCCCCCUUUAACCAAAAUUCCUAGAUUUUUGUCUCCAAAAAGUUUCUUCCAUUAAAACGCAAUUCUUGUACUCCUCCAAAUCCCUCAUUCAAGCCCCUGCUUCCUCAAAAGAUAGGGGAUUAACGCUCUCCUUUGAAUCCCAGAAUUGAAUUCGAGAGAAGGCCUCUGAUUUUCUAGCAGAGACAUUACCAAAAACAUCUUUAUUCCAUUUUCUUAGAUCCCUUUUAAGAGCUUUCAACUUUUCAACAAGGCAGUGGUUGUUAGACCGUGCAACUGAGUACCUAGUCCACUACUCUCUUACUAGCUCUUUGAACUCAUCUGACAGAAGCCACAUAUUCUCAAAGCGGAAGGGAGUCUUGUCUUUUUUAACCCCCUCCCCCCCACCUUCCAGAGAAAUGGGACAGUGAUCAGAGACGAUUUUAAGGAGAACACAUUGAAAGACACCCGAAAAAUGAUCCUCCCACUCGUUGGAGACUAGAAAGCGGUCUAGCCUUGACGCUACUUGAGAAUUAAGACCACCGUACCACGUGCACUAACCACCGGAAAAGGGCAGAUCCUUUAGACUUAGCUCCUCAAUUACCUCAAAGAACCUUCUCAUCUAUGCUCUUAGAAUGAGCCCAUUCCUCAUUUUCCCUGGAAAUCUAAUGGAAUUGAAGUCCCCCCCCCCCCCCCCCCCAUGCACCAGGGAUCAUCCCACAGGCCUUUAAUUGCACCCAGUUCUUUCCAAAACUCCUUUUUUUUCCCUCGAUGGGACUGGUCCAUAGACACCAGUGAUCACCCAAACAAAACCAUCUUCCACAUUCCUAAAACGUCCCGAGAUGGUGAAACCACUACGCUUUAGCUCCAAGAGUUCUAGAAUCUUGUUGUCCUAAAAAAUCAGAAUGCCUCUUGAGGCACCCCUAGCAUCUGCACCCCAAUCCAUAGACCUUCCAACACCCAAGCUUUUCACCACCUUUAACGACAUCUCUUGCACCGUUGUUUCUAAAAAACAAACUAAAUCUGCCUUCUAGGAUCUAGCUACCAACUUAGCCAUCCUUCUUUUCUCCCUGUCAUUGAGCCCUCUAACAUUCCAAGAGAGGAUUUUGAUCUCCAUCAAUCCACUGGAAUCAUUUCCCAUUUGUUCCUGCUGCUCCUUCUAUUUGCAAGCACAAGCUCUCCAUAGCUAACUGUACAAUCCCAUCUCUAAGUUCCCUUUCAGAGCGUGAUGCAGACAUUGCUUUUUUCUUUCUCCUUCUAUAAGGGGUCCCUUCACCUACCAUCUUCUUCAACUUCUUCAAAAGCAAAACAAUUUUUUCUUCGCACCCCUCAACCGACAUUCCUAAGAAUCUACUGAAAUCUUUGAAAUUGGAGAGUUCCUUGUCGGAGGGCAGAUCCUCUCCGGAGGAAGCAUUCUCUAGGAAAACCACCUUCGACCCAUCUUGUAGAACCAUAGAGAGAGGCCCCUUUACAGAUUCAGCCCUUACCUCCAACGCACCCUCUUCCCACUCGGGGGAUCCUCCCCAAAGCUUCUGAAUCAUCGCUGUCCCUCUGCAAUCCCUGCCCAAAAUAGGAGAUUCUGACACCCAGAAAGGAGUAGAAGAAGAAGAAGGCCCUUCCCCUCAAGAAGAACGGGACGAAGAAAGUGUACCUUGGAAUUUGAGAACUUCUAAGAAAGCGAUGUCUGCUAAUGAUUUCGAGUUCGCCUCCGAAGCCAUCAGAAAUGACACACAAGGGUCGAGGCCUUGGGGUGUACCCAUUGUUGUGGACAGAAAGCUAGGGCACCGAACGUGAAGAACUUCUUUGGGAGAAGAGUGGAAAUUCUCCCCUCCUUUUAAAAGACAAGCCUGACCCACUUCCAAUUGGGCCUUGCCUAAAGAAAGCCUUUUAAGGCUACCUCCAUUAACAGAGCCCAACAUGGCCCAGGAUCCAGCAGCAAGGGCCUCCUUCUCUAAGCCCCUAAAGCACCCUCUCCACAAAGCUCCCUUUUCCCUUCUGUAUUUGUAGUCGUUCCUAUCACAUUAGGAAUAAUGUCCUCUCCCCCAUUUGCAGAGAGCAGUGGGUCAACCAUUGACACCUGGCCGUCCACUUUCCCAGAGCAAACUUCAGCCACUCUUUGAGGGGGGAGUAACCUAACCUCACCCUCAUCCUUUCCCCCGCUUCCUCUACAACAUCACGAAGGUUACACUUCACUGAUCCAUGGAGUAGUCUCCCACCACAAUUAGAUCGUGAAACAGGUAGAACCGUCCACUACUUGCAGAGAGAUAGGGAAAUUCUACCCUCUUACCCUGACAAGGACCUUGGCCCACUGCAAGUUCCUACGUUCCGUCGUGUCCUCGUCAACACCCACAAAGUGAUCGCAAGCUUCCCCUAAGUUCUUGAAAAAACUCAUCCCUCGAAGAUGCAGUGGAAGACCCAGAAUUCUUACCCACACCUCUCAACUCUUCUUGUCCUCUAUGAGACACACCCAACAAAGAGGCUCCACCAAUCCAACAAGAGGCAUUUUCCUUUAAACCACUUGACCCUUGAGUGCAACACCCUCUCAGCUUCAACGGCAUCUUCAAACUCAAAGAGGAUAAGGAGACCUCCUAACAGAGCCAAGUGAAGAUUUCCUUUCAACAUUCAAUUGGACUGAGCCCAAUACUUAAGAGAAACGAGGUCUGGGGGUUGAUCAGAAAGUGUCCCCCCCGCCCCCCCCCAUCUCCCCGUCAAGCUCCUGCUCAAGACUUCCUUGUUGUCAAUCACCCCCUUGUCAAUUUCUAACCACACAACAUUCUGAAGUUUUGCAGAACCAGAAAACUCUGCCUCUACUGCUGGUUUCUCCUUCCCGACAUUGACCCCCUUGAGACCCCUUCCCCUCAAAGAAGAGGCUGAGGACUCUCUCCCCUUUGGGUCAAGGAGAAACCCGGACUUCUUAACUUCCCAGCCAGAAGUUGCCAACCCCCAACCACACUCCUACCUUCAGGAACACCAAGGAGAAUCUCUUACCUUCCACAUGCUAAGCUGUGCAAAACAAAAACCGUUCUGCUUUGUUAUUGCCCAACUCCAACCGGUACCUUCUUCCCCCCUUCGCCCAAGCUUUUUUGAAACGCUCCCCUAAUUUGAGACAACAACAGGUCUCAGCCCCUUCCAAAAGGAAGGUCAAGCCUUUACCACUAAAACAAACCCAAGAAGAAAAGUUGGGGCGCCUUUUGUAGAUUGUUCCGAACACUUUCCCUUUGGUCUCGUCCACUGAAAUCUCGAAGGUCUUCGAAUCCACUCCAAACUAGCACUUACCACUGGGAGAAACCACUGCCAUCACCCUCUCCCUAUGGUUUUGAACGUAUCUUUAUCCCCGGAUGCCUCUAAAUAACAUCAAAAUACACAUCACACAAGAUGGUCAUGUAUCACCAUUCAGAGGCUUGAAUAAUAGAUCUGAAAUGCACAGAAUGGCUGCUGGAAGAUAAAAGAUUCUCUACCAUCCUUGCUCAUUAUUACAAUGAGGGAGUGGCUUUCAUUCCCUUAUAUUUGUGCUUUCUUCUCUUUUCUCUACCAUCCUUGUUCAUUAUUACAGUGAGGGAGUGGUCUUCAUUAUUUUAUGUUUUGUUUUGUCUUCUACCUCUCCUUCUCUGUUGUCCAUUCAUCUUUCCUGUUUGCAUGAUGUUGUUGCAUUGUCUGUAUGCUUUUGUUGUAUCUGUUAGCAAGUUAUGAAAUAAUUUAGAAACUGUGCAUGUUGGUUUGAUGUUCUCCACCUGACCACAACACAACCCCCCCCUCAGAAAGAAAAAAAAUUAUCCAAAAUUAUUUUUUCCUCCCCUUGAUUUUCCAUGGUGUCAUACUUAGGAAGCACAUGUAGAGGGACUAGACAUCUGCCUCAGAUGGUAUCUCUUUUUGCUGAUAUAGCUUAGGUACUUUCUUACCCAAAUUUGUAUAUGAUAAACUGUAUAACAUAUUAGAAGUGCUGGUAACAAGGUAGAAUUCUUGAGAAAUUGACUAGUUGGAUGGCGUUUUUAUGCAGCGCACCCUUAGGAACGACUGAAUGCCUAUAAAACAAUAAAAAACUAUAGAUAAUAAAAAUAAAAAUAAAAAUAGCAAGGACUGGACAAGAUAAUAUGGUUUUAGCAACAGCUGCUUGUGGAAUUUAGAUCUUUUAUGUCUUGGUUUCAUGUGAGUGAGUAUAAUGCAGCAGAUUGAUUGAAUAAAACAGCAGUUUGUUUUCUGUUGGAGGUGGGAUGUUUGUAUGAACUUGCUGAAUGGUUAUCUUCCUUGCACCCAGAGUUCUUCUGCAAAGCUGAUUGUGCAUGGAUCUGCAUGUAUCCUGUGAUGGUUUCUUGCCUCUGAUGCUUAUCUCCUCUCAUUGUAUUUUUUCUUGUAUCCAUAUCUGUUGCUUAAUUUUUCCCAUUGUUUAUCUAAAUACCACCAUUGGAAACAGGUGCUUGCUGUUUCACGUGUCAUGGUUGCCUGGCAACCUAUAGGCAUUUCAAUGGGAGCCUAUGAUAUGUGUCACAGGUAUUAAUGUGAUAAAUGAUAUGUAUGCUGUUCUCUUUAUCUGAUCACCACUAUUUUGUCUUCAGCCUUCAGUAUGUUGCAUUCUGAUUUUAAGUGGUUGAAGGUAUCUAAAGGAGAGGAAACAGUUUGGAGCACCCUUGGCAGCUUUCCAGAUCAACCAACAGAAACUUGUUGAAAUGCUGGGUAAUAUUCAAGCGAUGACUCUUGUUGGUUGGCGACUUUGCAAGUUGUAUGAGAAGGGUAAAAUGACUCCAGGUCAUGCCAGCUUGGCAAAGGUGAAUAUGAAAUCUGGAGAUGCAGACUCCAUUUUACUGACUAGUCAUAACAUAUUUCUCCAAUGUAUAUCAGGCAUGGAUCACCUUGAAGGCAAGGGAGACUCUUGCUCUUGGGCGUGAGUUACUAGGUGGCAAUGGAAUCUUGGCUGAUUUUCUAGUUGCAAAGGUUUUCACUUCGAUCCCUUGUUCCAAUGUUUUAAAUUUUGUAGACCUAUAGAGGGGAAUGGACUUGAAAAGAGGAUCUGGAUAUUUGAUUUAGACUGCAAUUUUGAUAAGGCCAUACGAAGACAAAAUCUCUCAUAUUGCAAUAAGUAGGUCAUGAAUUCAAAUUUGAUAGGGUAUGGUAUAUAUCCAAGGUAAAAAUUUGAAUUUUAAGCACUGCUUAUUGCAUCCAGUGUGGAAGAUUUAGUCAUCCAAUCUGAUUGAACUGAAGUUUGAUUGCAUGAGAUCAUGGUGCAUCCUUGUUAAGAUUUGAUUAUGGGGUUUUGGAUCCUGUGCACUUGUGGGCCUGAGUUAUAGCCUUAUUUCUUUUAAGUCUCAUUUUGACUUGUUUUGGUGGAGCUGCAGGCAUUCUGCGAUUUGGAGCCAAUCUACACAUAUGAAGGCACCUAUGACAUAAACACCUUGGUGACAGGUAGGGAAAUCACUGGUAUUGCCAGCUUCAAGCCUGCCGCACUGAACCGACGUAGCCGCCUGUAACCUGUAGACUAGUGUCAGCUGAUACAGCUAUCAUGCGGACAGACCAAGAAUAAAUAAAAGAUGGAUGCAAUUUAUCAGUGCUGCUUGUAGAAGUAACCAAAGGAAAUGAAAUAAAAAGGUGUAACAGAUCUUUUACCUAUGGGUAUUAAAUUAUCAGCGAUUCUAUUCAAAUUACUAAAUUUUAUGAAGCAUGGUUGGAUGAUAUAACCAACAUGAGAUGCAGAUUACCUUUCCUGUGGCUUAUUUGUUAAUGAUUAUGCCAACUAACGAGCAUAAGUUUGUGCUUUUUACGACUUGGAGCCCUAUUUUUCUUUGAUGCUCCAUUUGACUGGUUGUCCUGCUUCCAUUUUUGGUGGGGGGGAGUGUGGGGUUUGGUCCUUGAAACGAUCCUAUGUCAGCAGUUGGGCUGGGCCUAAUUAUAUUGGUCAGAGAGUAUUGAAGAGUUUGGGAACUGGGUGAUGCUGCGUAUCCCUCUUAUCCUGAAAAGGCUAAUAAUGAUCUUUAAGCUAAAUAUUUUUGCUUCCAUCCGUACAAAUGGAAUACUCUAGUAGAUGAAGGGAAGACAUCUUAUAUAUUAAAUAAGAAAGAAACAACAGACCCCAUUGUAUGAAGCUUAUGCACUGCAGUGAACCGGUAACAACACCCAUACGUAUUCUCGGAUUAAAAGGGAUGGUGAGAGAUCCGUUGAAGUUUGAAAAGUGGAAAGUACCCUAAAUCCUAAUAAACACUUCCAACAAAUAUUUCUUGAUGGAAAAGGUCUAGUUUCAUUCGUCUAUCUUAAUUCUUAACUAACCAAAAACUCCAUUCUUUCAGUCGUUGGCUCCUCCCUCUCGGUUUCUUUGCAAGCCCCAAGUCCUUAUCUUCAUAUGGAACCGACCUACCGCCCCCAAGAACUUCACGUUCUGAAUGGGAGUGAGUAUCUCCACCACUUUCACCGCCGUACUCAUCCUCAACAACUCCGCAUCCCUUACCACCGUCUCCAAAGCCGAGCUCAGCAACUCAGUCACUGAGUCACUCCCCAGAAUCUCCCCGUCCCUUCGCCUACCCGCCUGCCUCGCCAGCUCCAUCAGGGGCGGCGCCGCCACGGUCUCCUGAAUCCUCGCCAACUCGUCGCUCAGUAACCUCUCCUCCGUCCUCGUCUCCUCCUGCAGCUCAUUCAUCCUCCUCCUCUGAUCCUCCGACAGCUCCCCCACGGCCUCAGCCACGAUUCGGAAGGCUAACCCGGGCUUGAACCCACCAAUCCACAAGAGGGUCCGUUCCAGAGGGGUGAACCAGGGUGGUGAGAACACCACAAACACGUUCCUCUCGAUCACUCUGGAUUUCUGCUCAUAGUAUAGUUGAUAGUGCGUCAGCACUCGCGAAACCAAAUCCGUCAUUUCCUUCUCCCCGUAUUCACCACAAUUCCGCUCCGUCGUUAAAAGCUCGUCUAGGUAGUGCUCCUGACUAACCAUCCACCGUUGAAGAAACCUCUCAAAUAGAACCACACUACUAUUAUUCUCUGCCAUUUUCCCUCACACCCCACUAAUUUGAAGUCUCAAUUUAUGUACACAGACAGUGGAAGGAGUAUGAAGAUCGGGCGAAUGUAGGAAGCUGGAGUAAAUGUGAUUACCGUCAUCAACUUAUGAGUUGGCCUGUGGCGCUUUUCUUACUGGAAAAUAUCUUUCUGGCAUACACUCCCGGUAGGCAAGUGACAGCUGGACAAGCUAGGGACCGACUCAAUAUCCAGCUAGUGAGACGCAUGUGACGGGGUUGGGACAGAAAACCCCUUACUCCCUGAUCAGAGGUGGGAUACUCUUGGUGGAGCAGAGUGGCAGACGGUGGCCGUCUAACUCCACCGCUUCUCCUCUUUCACACAUACAUACUCUCUGAGAAAAUCUGGUUCGGUGCAAUUCGUCGGGAUGUGAGCAUUCUUCCUCUGCAAGUACCUGGAUGGUCGCUCCUAUAUAAUAAUGUUAUAUUUAUGCGUAUCCGUAUAUAUAGACUAUAGAUACACGUCCAUCCUUUCUGCACCUCUUCUCUUUAAGUAUUUAAUACAAUAGAUUAAUAUUUGUUCCUCCUGGCAAAUCAUAUUGCAUGUUUUGUUUCCAAUAAUGUCAUAUUACGUGUUUUGUUCCUACUGUUAAAUUCAAUCACCCAAAAACUCCAAACAAAUUUCUUCCAAAAUAUAUAUAUAUAUAUAUAUAUAUAUAUAUAUAUAUAUAAAAAGAAGAGCGUUCAUAUUAAAGAAGUUUGAAGAGUAAUAUAUUCAAUUUUAAACCUGAGAGAGUAAUGUGUAAACGACGCAAUAGAAUAGGUUGAAGGGUAAAAUGUGCGAAAUCCUACUUUUAUAUCUUUAUUAUAAUUUUUUAUUUUAAUUAUAUAUUAUAUAUUUUGUACCUUAUUUAUGUGCAAAACUUUGGUUCAGGUUCUUUUUCAAUUGGACCCUUAUUAUUUUGGAGAUAAUUUAUUUUAUAUCAUUUUAUAACUUAGUAAAUAAAAUGAUGGAUUAAGAUAAAAAUAAUUAUAUACAUUAUAUUUAACACUUAUCAUUUUAGUGAACAUAAAAAUUAAAAUUAUUUAUUUAUUUUUGUUAUUGAAUUAUUUUGGUAAGGACAAUGAAAAACUAAAGGUUUUUCUAAACUUAGCAUGUUGAAGAUGAAUUUUAUUUUCAUAACAAAAAAAAAAUAAUGAAGUAAAAAGGUUCAUUGCUUUAAGGUAAUAUUUAUUUAUUCAUUUUAUAGAAAUGCGAAUGUAUCAAUAACAUUAUUAUAUUGAAUGAUAAUAAAAUUAUUUAUUUAUACUUUUGUCACUCUUUUUGUACUCAAAUCACAAAUUUUAUACCUUCAAAUCGUUGUCAUAUUUUUUGUACCUCAAUUACAUCUUUCAUAUCUCAAUGAUACUUUUUUAUAUUUUAAUCAUAUUUUUUAUACCUUAGUUACAUUCUUUGUACAUUGAUCACAUUUUUUGUACCUUAGUCACAUUUUUUGUGUUUGGUAACAUUUUUCAUGCCUUGGUACUUUAAUAAGACAUUUUACACCUUAGUUAUGUUUUUUUGCAUUCGCAUCCACCUUACCUUGAUAAUAUUUUUUAUACAUUAGUUACAUCAUUUUUAUUUAUGUCACAUUUUCCGUAUUUUAAUUUCUUGAUCACAGUCUUCAUAUCCUAGUUAUAUUCUUUCUAUAUAGACUAUAUUUUUGUACAUUAAUACCUUGAUAACAUUUUUAGUACCUUCGUUAUAUUUUUUGUAACUUGAUUACGUUAUUUGUACCUAAAUCACGUCUUUUGUGUCUUAAUACCUUGUGUUGGAAAUUUAUUUUAUUUGGUGACUACCAUCAAACUUCAAAAAAUAAUAUCUACUAUAUAAAGGAGAAAACAAACUUUGAUUCAUGAUGCUUGCUUUAGUAUAGUUAGAAGAUCUAUGUGUAUUUGUCUCCAUCUUCUCUUCUUAUCUUUACUUUCCUAUUUUAUUUUUUAUUUUUUAUGCACUCUUUAGUGAUGAAUAAAAAAAAAUGUUUUAAUAAUUUGUAGUGGUGGGACUAGCCAAUAGCUCUUUUAUAUAUAAGAGCUUGAUGGUUCAAGAUGAAUCUAAUUUAACUACUAAAGUUCAUGCAUGGAAAUCAUGAAUCAAAACUUCUAAAAAAGGAAAACUUAAAUGUGAUCAUUAAGAUUACUCUUAGUUCCAACGUUGUCCCACUUGGUCUAUAAUAAAGUUUUCCUUUGUUAAAUUCAUUAAGAGCCGCUCAUAAUCACAAUCACUUUAGAUUCCAAAAUAAUUUAACUUAAAUAAAUAAACUACUGACAUAGAUCACAGCAGUCCUAUAUUACCUUUUUAUUGUUUUCAAUGUAAUUUUGAAUACACAUCACAAUAUUGACAAUUUUCUUGCUCAAACAAUAUGUAAUGAAGAACUUGGGCUACAAUAAUUUUAUUAUACCCACAAACUUUAAUGUCAAAUAAACAAUAAUCUUAUUUUAAAUAUUAGUUUAAAAUGUGAUCUAAGGUUAUUUAAGAGAGAGAAAUCUUGCUAUGAGAAGAAUAAAACAAUAAUCUUCAUUAAAUUUUAAAAUAAUUUAAGGUUAUUUUAAAAUACAAUAAUUUUAUUAUACCCACAUACAUAAUUGGUUCCUCAAGGCUACUUUUGGUUCUCUAAAAACUAAGGAAAAAUUUAAGAGAAAAAAAAUAGAGAAAAAAAAAAUUAAUGAAAGAAAAGUAAAAUAAAAUAAAAAAUAGAUAUAAGGUUAAUAAAUUAUUUUUAUUUACUACUUCAAAUUCAUUUUAUUUAUUUUAACUCAUCAACAUAAAAAUUAAAUGAUUUAAAAAUAUAUAAGUUUUUAAUUAAUUUUAAUCAUAUUUAAUUUUUUUUUAUAUUUUUAAUAAGACAAUCAAAUACAAGAAAAUCAUUUUCCUUAACAUUUUUUUUUAAUACUUAUUGAAAAAAAGGUUUAGAAUAAUCGAUACUGAUAUAUUCAAUUGACACUACAUAAGGUUUAGAAUCAUCGGUACUGAUAUGUUCAAUUGACACUAUAUGAUUUUUCAUUCUUUCUCUUACAAUAAAUCAUGUCGAAUAGCCUUUGAUGCACUUGAGUUAUUAUUUUUUGAGAAGAAAAUUGCAAUGGAAUUAUCUAUAAAAUUCUCAAUGACUUUGAAAUUGAAUUUAAAUUUCGAAACCCAGACGUUGACUUCCUACUAUUGAGAUAUCUAACAUAAUUUGAAUAUAAAUAUCUUAUUACUACAAGAUUUUUAAUAUAUUAUAUGUGCCUAUGUAGUCCUUGUUCUUUCAAAUAUCACAUUCCUUUCUUAACAACAACCCGAGGAUCCCAUCUUGAAUGGCUUUAAAAUCUUCUCGACGUUCCAACCGUGAAACUAAUGUUAAGGCGAGUACCAAUGGAACCAUGCAUUAAACUUCCAAUUAUUCUACAUGUUAUGUAUUUUUAAGAACUUAAAUUAUUCUAAAACUUGGUCAAUUAGAUUCAUUUUAUUAUGAGAAUUUCAUUAACUCACAAUAAAACAACACUUCCUACAAACUGAAUAAUUCUAUUGUUCACCUUUACUUUCUACAAGACAAUCAAAGAAAGAGAAUUAAGUUAGCUUCACUGCAGGAAAUGGAAGGAAAGUUUUAAAUUAUCAAACAAUUUUUUCCUGGAAAUUUCUCCUGCAGCACCUAAAUAUGCAACGUAGAAAGUUGACAACAAUUAGUUUGGUAGGUGGCACCGAGAGAAGUGAGUACGGACAUUUCAUUCAUUUUCUCAUCUAUUCAUAUGUUUGAUAACUCAAAUGACAAUGAAAAUGAAACACACAAUGAUUCUAGUACAAUUGAAAUCUCAUUUAUACAUAAGAUUGAUGUCCAGUGGGUAUUUUGACUCCCUCGACUCAAGAAAUGAUACAGAACAUUUCAAAUUCUAUUUUACUCCAUUUUCAUUAAGUUUGCAUGAUUUUUUAAUUAAUUUUUAUUUAUUGAUUAAAUAUUAUUUUUUAGUCUUAUUAUUUACCCAAAAAAAUCUUAAAUAAAAAUGAAAAAUUAUUUUAAAUUAUAUGCAAGAAUGUUAUUAUCAAUAUAUAUAUAUUUUUUCUAUUCUCAUCCCAUUGUUACCGAACAUUGAAAUUGAAACAAAUAAUUACUUCAAUCUUAUAUUCCUAGAACAUUGAAACUAAAGAAUUGCAAUCAUAAAUUUAUUUGUUAUUAAAGGAGAAAUAGAAAUAAAAACAAAAUGUUGAUUUCCAUCCCCCAUUCGCUCGUACCAAUUCAAUAAGAUGAAUUGAUCUGUGCUGGGAUGGAAGAAGGAUGCAUCUGCUCAUAGCCAACAGUGGACCACAGAAAAAUACUCUGCUUCAAUUUAAUCACAGGUCAUGUUAUUGACAUUGUAAACAAAAUCACAACAAACCUAGCACCAAAGAGAAUGAAUGGAUCACUUGGAGAUAUCAUUGAUGCACUUCAUUUGGGAAAGCUGCACGCAUGUUUAAAAUGUGGGAAUGGGAAUGAAGAUGAAUCUUAAUAUCAUAUAGAAAAGAAGAAUCAAAAUCUGAGUGAGAAUGAAAUUUAAUUUCCAUAAUAUUUUUUUUUUUAUCGCUAUUUCCAUUUAAAAAAAACAAUUCUCACACAUUAAUGAAUGAGAAUGGAAUCGAUUUCUUAUUCUCUAUUCCCGGGUUCUAGACGUGACUUAUGUAUUAAUCAUGGAAUUGAUGAACUCUCCAAAGACAAAUGACACUGAAUAAUUUCCUAUUGUAUAACCUAAAAAGAACAUUAGGAACUGCCAAACAUGCGACUGAAAGAUUAAAAAUUCUGUUUCCUAGUUUCCAAAAUAACAAAAUUAGAAGAAUGCCCAACAAUGAUAGCUGACAUGGGAAAGACAAAGGAUCUUGCCCAUAGUAAAUAUUCAGCUCACCAAUUAGCUACCAAAAUACACAACUUUGCUUAAUACAAACAUUGUAAAGAGGCAUACUUCAAUGACAAGGAGCCAAGAACAUUAUCAACGACAACAUUAUCAAAGGAAUAGAUGGAACAUUCCUUUGAUUACUUUUAAGCCUCAGCAACCAUGAAAUCUGUUUAAAGAAGACUACCAUAAACGAUGCAGUUUUAUCCUUAAGACUCCCAUACUGCAAGUUUGCUACCAUCACAUUUAGAACACAAGGAAUGAUCUCAAGCAACUGGUAGAAAAAGGAUUACCUGUUUUCAUCGUUUUUUGAAACCAUAUUUCUUUCGUUCAUAGAAUAAAUCAGUUUUGGCGCUUCCCAAAUUGACGAUUUUUGGACACCCAUCUCUAUCUUUCUCCAGCUGCAUACACUCUUUGCAGUAAUAGGCAUCAGAAAUCCCGAUUCCUCCACAGACAAUGCAACGUCCCUGGAAGGAGCCAUAAUUGCAUUGAUCACAAACCCGAACAAGGGUGCAAGGACGCACCAUGGAGUCACAGAUUACACACUUACCAUCACAUUUGUCACAUACACGUCCAAUAGCAAUUCCUGGCUGCUUGCGGCACAUAAUUAAAUCUGGAUGAUGCUUGGCCAUAUCUUCUGCAGUGUCAAGUUCCUGUUUCCUGCAGGAAUUUAUGAAAAUGGCAUUAUUUUUUCUUGUUAGUCUUAAUUUUUUUUUUCUGAAGAAAAUAAAACAAAAGGCAAUGUCACAGCUCAUAAAUCAAGUACAUGACAACAAAUAUAACUACUGAGUUGACAGCAGUAAGGAAGCAGCAUGCAAAUAGAGCCAGUUUCAACCCUAACUAUGAACUUCUGAUACUGUUCUUUACUUUGUAUCCUCUUCAACAUGAAGCAUUGUCACACCCCAAGACCCACUUUAAGGGGGUGACAACUAUUUCACACCUCAAGCUUGAAGGCUCAAAUUGAAAACGACACAAAUAUUCAUCUUAUAAUUAAAAGUUACUAAUUACUAAAUUUCUGUGCAAAGUAGUAGAACAAUAUUAAAUAAUAUUCAAAUCUUAACUUUAAAACUAAUACAUUAACCAAAGUGUUAUUGUUCAAAAACUCCAAACUCAAAUAAUUCACUAGUAAUUAAAUUCUAACAUCUAAACAAUGUCCGAUGUAAAGUUUAAACCAAAAUUCUAAUAAUGACAAAAUCCCAUCCUCAUUGUUAAUCCUAGCUUGAAUUGAGAGUACCUGAAAAUUUGUCAACAAAAAGGAAUAAGCUCGAAACCCAAUAAGAAAUAUUAAUAUAGUUUCAUGAAUUAAACAUUUUCAAUUAUGACUACAAAUAGGAAAUAUAAUGCAUAAUCCUUUUCAUAAAAACUUUUGAGAUCAACAUGCUAAUAAAUUUAAAAUUUUUUAACUAAACAUUUUCAUGUUUAAUUCAUAUCAAAUCCAAAUAAAAUAUAUUCAAAAUAUUUUUACUUUGUUAUAGAAUGACAAAUGGUACCCAAUUAGGUAAGACUUUACAAAUGAGUGGCUAAUCUCAAAUUUAUUCCUUUUAAGGUGGAUAAAACUAAACACUACCACUACCGGUAACUUCUAACCAAACCCUUAGAGGCUAAGUUUUAAAAUAAUUACAUUCCCCACCAAGAAAUGCAAAGGUCAACUAUUAUAUCUGGUUGAAAAAGACCAAAAAGUCAACUGUAAUAUCCCAUUAACUAAGACCGAAAUAUUAACUAUUAUAUCCCGUUGGUUAUGACCAAACAAACUAGAGUCAAAACAUUUUAUUUCAUUUAUUUAAACUUACAAAAAUAUAGUAUCGCCAUAUUUAUCUAUAAUAAACCAAAAAAAAUUGUUCUAACAUAUUUUUCAUGCAAAAUAUCUUUAUUCUAUGGAUAAAAACAAAAAUAACAUUUUACACAUUUCAAAAUAACAUAUAAAAAGACUAUCGUUUUCUUUUACAAAAUCUGCAUUAAUUUCCCUUACCUAAAAAACACUUAGAACCCUUAAAGAAUUUAACCCCAAAAAUUUAAUCAUCACCUAACAUAAUAAAAAAAAAUAAAAGUUACUACUAUUGACUAUUUAUCUAAAUUUAUAGAUUUGAGAAUCCUAAUAAUUUCCUUUAUUAUAUGACCUAUACUAUUUCUAACUUCCUAAUCAACAACAAUUUAAUCAAAGUUGCAUUUUUUUCCAAAAUCUUUUCCCGAAAUUCUAUCAAUAUAUUAUUAUUUUUUUAAGUAAACCUCUCAAAAACCUAUUUCUUUUAUUUAAAAAAAAUAUAUUUUCCUAUUAUAAUUAUAUUAUAUUAUAUUUCAUAAAAGCUUUAGAACCAUAACCAUUACACUAUUCUUUCCUUCCAUUCUCGUUUUCUUUCUUUCCUUUUUCUUCAUGUAGCACACACACACACACACACACACACACGUCCACAAUAUAUAUUUUUUUAUUAUUAUUAUUUUCUUCUCACUUUUUCAUCCUCCCACACCAUUCAAACCUUUAUUUAUAGAACUAUUAUAUAUUCUCCCAACAGCUCCACCACAACCAAAUACAUUUUUGUUUCUUUUAUUUGUUUUUUUCUCUUUUAACCAAGUCAACUGUACAAAGCAAAGGCCAUUCCUUGGCCUUUUUCUCUUUUUCUUUUUCCCAACUUCCAAACUUAAUACAAUGAAGUCACAAGUUUGUUUGCUUUUUUGUUCCCAAAGUAAAAACACUUUGGUAUCUAGAUUAAUAGUCAUAUACUUUUCUUAUACUUCUUUUUCAUAUUAUGAUUAUUUUUUUUUAAAGAUCUAUGAUUUAUUUUUCUUUCAUUAUUUAAAUCUACUCAUUUAAAAUUUCCCUCGUUAAUACAUCAACUUAUGCUCAUAAAUUUUUAAUUUUUUAAUUUUAAAAAAUUAAAUAAACAAUCCUUAAUCUAGAAUGAGAUUUUUUUUUAAAGUAUUUAAAACUAUUUAACAAAUCUAAAAUACUAAUCUAAACUUUCAAACUCUAAGCUGCAUAGAAAAGUCUUAAAAUCUAAUUUAUAUCUAGAGCUUUUAAAUGUGAAAAGACCUUUCUACCCUUAUUAAUUAAUUUAUCUUAUCCUAAUUUACAAUUUUACUCCUAAAAAUAAAUGUGGGCCUUUACAAGUAUACUCUACUUCAAUGACAAAUAAUGACAUUUAACAAACAUUAGGGAAAAUGAAGCUUAGAAUUUAAUUUUCAACUGGUAGCCAUCAGGGUUAUCAAGAGAGGCAGUGAUUUCCUACAACACAUUCCAUGGAAAUGAAUGCUGGUAAGCCCCUGUCUAGACUUUGGAGGCAUGGAUCACUUCAAAUGUCAAUCAAUUUUGGAUUUUCUGCACAAGGAUCACAAAACAUAUAGAAAAUACCAAGGUAUCUAUGCAACAAAGUGAUACUAUACUAACAUAAGCAACUCAGCAAUAAAUUAAGACUCAUCAACCAACCAAUCAUUCACCAAACCUUAGACUCUCAUACCAAAAUAUCAUCCAAAUGCAAAGGAAGAAUUACACCACAUUAAGAAUGCAGUUGAUGGUGUUUCCAUUUAAAGUGCUAUUAGUAGGAGUGUUCUUCUAAGAAUCACCUGUUAGUGAUUUUUUAACUUUUAAAAGAUGCAUUCUAUAUUUUGCCAAUUUUUAUUCAAACAUGCUUUUUAUGUUUGAAGCAUUUUCUAAAAAUGCUGCCAAACGAACCCUAAACUAGAAACAAUCAAGGAGUCUUAUCAACGCAGAGUCAAUCCGUAAACUGAAUUAGAAUAAAUUUUGUUUGGCUUCUGAGAAAACGACAGACAAGAAAUAGAAGAGGUCAUUGAAGAAACGCUUAACUCAUCUAAUCAUUAUUCAAGCUUAUUUGAGCUGAUCCUUUAUUUGUCAACGUACCGUACAAGCUUCAAAGUUAGCUUUUCUUCUAGCGUCUAGGUGAAUAAAUCACAAACAUCGGCCAGCCAAAAGGGCAUGAAAGUUAUACACC
rnacentral:lncRNA from 1 species